CGUAUGGUGUUUGGUCAAGCCCGUUGUGUUUGGAUCAAAUAGCGGUACGGCCUGAUGAUGAGGU
rfam:Lacimicrobium alkaliphilum strain YelD216, complete genome.